UGCUUGGAGGUUGUGCCCUUGAGGCGUGGCUUCCGGAGCUAACGCGUUAAGUCGACCGCCUGGGGAGUACGGCCGCAAGGUUAAAACUCAAAUGAAUUGACGGGGGCCCGCACAAGCGGUGGAGCAUGUGGUUUAAUUCGAUGCAACGCGAAGAACCUUACCUACUCUUGACAUCCAGAGAACUUUCCAGAGAUGGUUUGGUGCCUUCGGGAACUCUGAGACAGGUGCUGCAUGGCUGUCGUCAGCUCGUGUUGUGAAAUGUUGGGUUAAGUCCCGCAACGAGCGCAACCCUUAUCCUUUGUUGCCAGCGGUUCGGCCGGGAACUCAAAGGAGACUGCCAGUGAUAAACUGGAGGAAGGUGGGGAUGACGUCAAGUCAUCAUGGCCCUUACGAGUAGGGCUACACACGUGCUACAAUGGCGCAUACAAAGAGAAGCGACCUCGCGAGAGCAAGCGGACCUCAUAAAGUGCGUCGUAGUCCGGAUUGGAGUCUGCAACUCGACUCCAUGAAGUCGGAAUCGCUAGUAAUCGUAGAUCAGAAUGCUACGGUGAAUACGUUCCCGGGCCUUGUACACACCGCCCGUCACACCAUGGGAGUGGGUUGCAAAAGAAGUAGGUAGCUUAACCUUCGGGAGGGCGCUUACCACUUUGUGAUUCAUGACUGGGGUGAAGUCGAAGG
rnacentral:rRNA from 1 species